CUGAUACCGUCCUCUUUGCUCUGCCCUGCACAAUCCAUCUUUAGCCACAGCUCAUCCUUAAAGAAGCAAAUGGAAAACAGAUUGGACUUGAAGGGGUGGCAGUGAAAAUCCUUGGAGGAUGCAAUUGGACUCAAAACAAUAAGAGAGAUGAAAAUAGUUCUGUGAUAGAAGCAAAUCUGCCAAAACCAGUUCAGUGUUUUCAGUAAAGUAUUCCCGCACGCUCACCCACCUUCUUCUCAUCCUAGCCAGAGUGGUUUUUCAGAAAUUAAUAUCAAAUUAAAGCAGAACUACUCUUCCUACCAUUGUUGACCCUACUCCACACUCUACCCAGAUGAUGAAGAUCAGGGAUGUUGCCGGCUUUUAUUUUGUAUCACCCAUGUAUAGAAGUAUACCUGUGCACAGUAGAAUCCCAAAUAUAUUUUAAAUGAAAUUGUUGAAUGGAGACCAAAAUUUAAGAAGGCAGAAUUGGACAUGGCCAUCGCCUCGAGCUAAUGGAAGUCUUCAUGUUAUAACUCAUGAUUGUGAUGGAAACAGAUGUUCUUUUAACUCAAUAACACUAUGUUGGAGGACGUGCAUCAUUCUGAAGACGUGACCGUCAGUUGACCUAUGAGCUGGACCCAGGCAAUCAGAGGCUGCUUACUCCCUCCCCUGUCCUUGAAAUGUAUGUUCUGCCCACCAUUCCCAUAGUGGGAGCCAUUUACAAGGACAUAGGCUUGAGAAAGCAAUGUGUUGUUGAAACCACCUGGACAGGAUCCUUGACUCAACCCAGUUAAGGCCUCUACAUAAACUUUUAAGAUUCUGGUGGGCAGGUACAGAGACCUACUCAUCUUGCAACCGCCAAACCCAAGCCUCACAUGUAAGUUCCCUUGGUUAUUAAACCUGCCACCUGCCAAUCCGGAGUGUCUUGCCUCUUUCUUGGUUUCUCCUUACCCUCCG
rnacentral:lncRNA from 1 species